GCAUCAGAGACCGGAUUAUUUAAAGGAGAAAAAGAAAGGAAAAGCAAGGUCAUCUCGGCGCCGUAUCAGCCAUUCAGGAGGCUGGAUGUCGGUUUUGAAAGAAAUGGCGCUAAGCUCCGCUUCUCGAUUUGGGAAACGAGCGCAACUAAAGGAAACCGCUGCCUGCCGCGGGCGCGACAGCUGGACACUGAGCGGCGCCGGCGCGGGCGGAGCGCGGACCCGGCGCCCCGGCAGGUAGGUGGAGCCGGACCCCACGCCCGGGGUCCCCGCUGGGUCGGGGGCGCCCCUUCCUCUCCCUGCUCCCCGCGUCGCCGAGGGCGCGGGGCUGGGCGGGGAAGCCUGGCAGUUUUUAUUUUCGGUUUUAACCUUCGAGAAGCAGCGCAACAUCUGAACGCUUCUUCCUCUUUCCUCCGCCGGGGGCACUCCCCUCCCCCAUGGGCUGCUCCCCGCUUUUCCCGGUUUCCCCGCGGCGGCGGAUUCCCGGCCAGCAGCGGGCCUCCUCCUCUCCUCCUCUCCUCCUCCUCCUCCUCCUCCUCCUCCUCCUCUCCUCCUCCUCCUCCUCCUCCCUCCCGGCGUUCCGACACCCCAGGCGAAAGCAUGGUCCCGACUCCUCAGCAUGGUCGCCCUGCCCGCUCCUCGCUGCCUCCCCCUAGGGGCCCCCUCUCUCCUUCCACGCCGCUGAUCCUUUAUCGCCAGCCGCCCCCCCCCCGCCCCCUUCCCCGCCGUGGUCCACUCGGCACAGGAAAAGCGGCGGAAGGAAAGGAAGCAGCAGCCCAGAGGAGGGGUGAGAAAACUGAAGCCCACUGGCCAGCAAGUGCUUGGGCUGGAAUCAUCAAGAAGGGUUUGGGACUAUAAGCCUUGUGUUCUUUCUGUUGUGCUAAAGGCUGGAGUCAAUAGGGAGUGAGCUAUCAUUUGUGCAAAUAGAGAAUCAAUGUGAUUUUUUUUCUCUUUGUUCUUUUCCUGUGGCCUAAAAAACUGAUCUCUCAGAACUCUCUUAGUUUUUUAAUGGAGGAAAAAUGUUUUCUAUGUUGGCUCAGCAAAUUCAUCCUACAGGCAGAGAUAGAAGAGGGUAUUAGAUAAACCAGUAGAAAAAUGAGCAAAGAGUACAAUGGGUAGCUUAUAGUAGAGCAUAUACAAAUGGUCAGAAAAAUAUAUGAAAAGAUACUCAGUUUUACUCAUGAGUAAAGAAAGGUAACAGAAGCAAUGACAUAUCUAUUGGAUGUAGCAAAAAUAAAAAAAAAGAAGUGAUAAUAUUGGUAAAGUCAUCAGAAAACAAUCACAAAUUAUUGUAACUUGGUGUGAUUGUUUUGGAAGGCAACUUUACAGUAUUUAUAAAAAUUGAACAUACGUGUCCCUUUGACUUACCAGUACCUCUCGUAUAACUCAUGUAAGUAUGUAAAGAUACACACACAUAAAUAUGUGUAUGGAAAUAUAUACCACAUAUGUAGUAUGUGCAUAUAUGUAUGGAAAGAAAUAUAUGUUAUGCAUGCAUGCAUAUAUUUGUAUUUAUGAUAUUAUUUGUAUUUUUAUAUAUACAGAUAUAUGUUUAUAUACAUAUGUAAAGAUGUAUGUUCCUUUAAUUCAGAAAUUCCACUCAGUAACUCAUGCUGAUAUGAAAAGUGAAAACAUAUAUAUGCAUAUAUACACUCAUAUGUAAUAUUGAAGAUAAAAACAUAUAUACACGUGGACAUAUAAGUAUGGAAAGAUUUUAUACAGAGACAUACAUAUGCAUACACACUUUGUGUGUAUAUGUGUGUAUGCGUGUGUGAGAGAUGUAUUUUUUUUUGAGAGAGAAGUAGAUGUAUUCUUAACCCUCGCAGUUUCUCUCCUAUACAUUUCUGCAGAUAGUUCAUAUAAGGAGGCAAAAAAGAUUCUGUAUAGGAUCAUAUAUAGUAGCAAAAAAAAAAAAAGCAAGAAAGGAAAAAGAUUAAUGUGUUAUCAAUAUAUUUCUUUUCAAAACUGAGUUUCAUCCAUAAAAUACAAAACAAUACAGCCAUACCAUAAAAAAAUGAAGUGCAUCUUUCUGUCCUUAUAAUGGAAGUUGUUAAAGAUCUAUUACUAAUCAAGGAAAACAAGUUGCAGAAUAGUAUGAUCCCAUUUAUGUUUUUCCAAUGUGUGCAUUGGGGGAGAGGUGUUUACAAUUAUAUGUGCCUAUGUUUCUGGAAGGUUAAUUUAAAAUUUUUAUUUAUUUUUAGGGAUGCCUGGGUGGCUCAGUAGUUGAGUGUCUGCCUUCAGCUCGGGACCCGGAUCAGUCCCAUAUCGGGCUC
rnacentral:lncRNA from 1 species